AUUAUCGAUCGAUCGAUGCAAAACUAUAUAUCCUAGUUGCAAGUUUCUCAAUUAAUUUUUGGCCUUGAUGAUCACUAUUAGUGGAUCAAUGUAGCAGAUUAUGCAUAUUCUAUCCCCCCAAAUUGUGGAAAUAUAUGUAUAGAGAUAUGAUAUGCNCUAUACAUAUAUUUCUGUAUUGGAUUCAUAUGUAUCCUUGUGGGUUUUAUAUAUAUUUUUGUGGGUC
rnacentral:misc_RNA from 1 species